CUCUGUUUUGGGUUUAUAUGCUUCAAAUACUUUUAAAUGAAAAUACUCAAAUAAUAGUAAUAUAUAGGUAUCUAAAAUAUAUAUGUUUUUUUUUGUCAACUUGUGCUUUUUCAUUAAGCAUUUUAAGAGUAGGAGUACAAAUUAAGAAGCAUACACGUGAAACAAAGAGAACACGUGUCAUUAAAAUAUUAAAACUAGGCUACGUGUUAGGAAAGAAGCAUGCACAUGGGAACUCCACCGCCGGUUGAAAGUUCAAUCGCCAGCAAGAUCUUCAACUUUCCUCUAUGCCUCCAUCUUCUUAGCUUUGUACCCACUACAAGACCUCUUUCGCCUCUCGCCGAUGUCGAUGUAUUGGAAGUCUUACAUCGCCGGUUGUUUACCUUGGGACUGCUCAAUCGAACAAAGGCUUAUCCUUUGUUGAACCGUUCAUAGAACACCAAACUCUACUGGAACUCCUUUUGCACAAUCGAGUUAAAUCCAUCAUCUUCGUCAUCCUUUCCGAUUGGAAAGCUUAACCCUUAAGCUGGUUCACCAGCAACACAGAGAGUGGGUGAAGACUGAUUUCCUCCUGAAAGGAAUCUGAGCAUAACCUUAAACGAAGAUUAACCAUACAUCAACUGAUCAGAAUAACAUGAACAUCACGAAAGAGAUUGGUAAAGAUAAUCCGAUCUAACUGAUCAGAGCUUUAUUCCAAUCAAUCCAAAAACAUAGAUAAGAAAUCAAACACAUGAAAAGCUGCUCUUUAUGGAUUGAUUCACAUCAAAAUCGCCAAACGAACAAAAAAGAUCCGAUAAACGGAAUUUACAAUCCGCGACGGAAUAGAGAUAUCCGCUAAACGGAAUAAAAAAACAAAAUAUAAGAUUCUCUUCGUCCUUCUGAAAGAUAUGAGAUUGUGAAGAAGGAAGCGAAGAGAGAGACUUUCUCUCUCAAGCCUUUUUUUAUUAAUUAUAAAAUAUAUAUGUUUAAAACGAGACAAAGCAACUGGUAUGUUACAUACACACAUAAAUAUAGUAGCAAUUUUUUCUGAACAGAAAACUCAUCAGUACACACAUAAUACAGAUAGAUACUUAGAUUAUUUCCAUACGGAGAGGAAACAAAAACAAAAACAAAAAAACUCAUAGUAUCCAUUCCUUUGUUAUUACCAUUGAAACACUAUUUAAUUUGUACAACUGAAGCAAUAGUUGCUAAUAUUGUCUAGACUUCCAUAAUCGUAUCUACCAGUUACUUAACAGCUUAUAACAAAACCCAGACAAUCCAUCAAACUCC
rnacentral:lncRNA from 1 species